UAAGCCAGCUUGACUGCGAGCGUGACGGCGCGAGCAGGUGCGAAAGCAGGUCAUAGUGAUCCGGUGGUUCUGAAUGGAAGGGCCAUCGCUCAACGGAUAAAAGGUACUCCGGGGAUAACAGGCUGAUACCGCCCAAGAGUUCAUAUCGACGGCGGUGUUUGGCACCUCGAUGUCGGCUCAUCACAUCCUGGGGCUGAAGUAGGUCCCAAGGGUAUGGCUGUUCGCCAUUUAAAGUGGUACGCGAGCUGGGUUUAGAACGUCGUGAGACAGUUCGGUCCCUAUCUGCCGUGGGCGCUGGAGAACUGAGGGGGGCUGCUCCUAGUACGAGAGGACCGGAGUGGACGCAUCACUGGUGUUCGGGUUGUCAUGCCAAUGGCACUGCCCGGUAGCUAAAUGCGGAAGAGAUAAGUGCUGAAAGCAUCUAAGCACGAAACUUGCCCCGAGAUGAGUUCUCCCUGACUCCUUGAGAGUCCUGAAGGAACGUUGAAGACGACGACGUUGAUAGGCCGGGUGUGUAAGCGCAGCGAUGCGUUGAGCUAACCGGUACUAAUGAACCGUGAGGCUUAACCUUACAACGCCGAAGCUGUU
rnacentral:rRNA from 1 species